AAACGAUACUGGCAAACCUGCUGAAAAGCAGGGACGCAAAGCCACGGGUCUACAGUCUUUUGACCAUGACAGCCGGGUUGCCGAA
rnacentral:ncRNA from 2 species